rnacentral:rRNA from 1 species
GUGCCAGCCGCCGCGGUAAGACGAACCGAGCGAACGUUGUUCGGAAUCACUGGGCUUAAAGGGCGCGUAGGCGGGUAUUCAAGUCUAUGGUGAAAUCCGGCAGCUCAACUGUCGAAUUGCCGUGGAUACUGGGUAUCUCGAGGGAGGUAGGGGCGUGCGGAACUAAUGGUGGAGCGGUGAAAUGCGUUGAUAUCAUUAGGAACUCCGGUGGCGAAGGCGGCACGCUGGACCUCUUCUGACGCUGAGGCGCGAAAGCCAGGGGAGCAAACGGGAUUAGAUACCCCCGUAGUCC